rnacentral:ncRNA from 2 species
AAUGACCACUAGGGGAGCCUUUAUUAAGGGCUGAGAUUAAAGUUCAACUUUAAGACCCUUUGAACCUGAUCUAGUUGAUACUAGCGGAGGGAAGUGGAGCAGAAGGAUA